rnacentral:ncRNA from 2 species
CACCCGGCUGUGUGCACAUGUGC